rnacentral:rRNA from 1 species
CCGCAGUGAAUAACUGUGCUAAGGUAGCGUAAUAAAUUGUCUCUUAAUUGGAGAAGGGUAUGAAUGGUUUGACGUGGUAGUUUCUGUCUCAAUAAUAGUAUUGCGAAAUUUUCAUUUGAGUUAAAAGUCUUAAAUAUAGAUAAAAGACGAGAAGACCCUGUCGAGCUUAAUAAAAUUAUGUAAAGAUUUCAUAUAAUAAAUUUAACUGGGGCAGUUGAGAACCAAAAAAUAGUUCUUUAUUAUUUGAAGAUCCGGUUUUACCGACCAUAAGAAAAAGCUACCGCAGGGAUAACAGCGUUAUCCUUUCUAAGAGAACUAAUUGAAGAAAGGGUUUGCGACCUCGAUGUUGGAUUAAAGUUUCUUUUUGGUGCAGCAGCU